AGGGGGUGGUCGGAUUUUGGGCUGUGUCCCCGGCGCCCUGUGCUCCCGGGCCUGUGCUGUUGGAUUCGCGCUCCCAGCUAAGCAGCACCCU
rnacentral:pre_miRNA from 1 species